rnacentral:rRNA from 1 species
GACGAACGCUGGCGGCGUGCUUAACACAUGCAAGUCGAACGGAAAGGCCCUGCUUUUGUGGGGUGCUCGAGUGGCGAACGGGUGAGUAACACGUGAGUAACCUGCCCUUGACUUUGGGAUAACUUCAGGAAACUGGGGCUAAUACCGGAUAGGAGCUCCUGCUGCAUGGUGGGGGUUGGAAAGUUUCGGCGGUUGGGGAUGGACUCGCGGCUUAUCAGCUUGUUGGUGGGGUAGUGGCUUACCAAGGCUUUGACGGGUAGCCGGCCUGAGAGGGUGGCCGGCCACAUUGGGACUGCGGUACGGCCCAGACUCCUACGGGAGGCAGCAGUGGGGAAUAUUGCACAAUGGGCGGAAGCCUGAUGCAGCAACGCCGCGUGCGGGAUGACGGCCUUCGGGUUGUGAACCGCUUUCGCCUGUGACGAAGCGUGAGUGACGGUAAUGGGUAAAGAAGCACCGGCUAACUACGUG